UGCUAAUACCGGAUAACAACAGAUGAUGCCUAUCAACUGUUUAAAAGAAUGGUUCUGCUAUCACUCCUGGAUGGACCUGCGGUGCAUUAGCUAGUUGGUAGGGUAACGGCCUACCAAGGCGAUGAUGCAUAGCCGAGUUGAGAGACUGAUCGGCCACAUUGGGGCUGAGACACGGCCCAAACUCCUACGGGAGGGCAGCC
rnacentral:rRNA from 1 species